GUGAAAACCAAAAACAAUAAACAAUUAAAAACGAAAAUAAUUGAGAAAAACAAAAUCUUUGUCUACACAUUCUGUUGAAACUAAAGAUUGGAAGAAAAAACCUUACAGUUGCGAUAGAAACUGACGUGAACCAUAGCAGCGUUGGCUUCUCGUAGCGAAGCGAAAAGGGCGGAGAAGGAAGAAGCGGAACUAGGGCUGAAGACGGAGGUGUGAUCACUUUAUAUAGGAAACCCUAAACCCUAAUAUUUCCUCUUCGUUUUGAAUAGGCUCCUGAAAGGUUGAUUUGGGCCUAUUGGGUCUUUAAUAUAGUGGAGCUAAGAAAGAUAGGAAACGAAAGAAAGAAAAAAAGGAAGUCAGCUUGUUCUUUAGACCAAAAGCCCAAACUUUGUUUUGUCCUCUGUGAUUCAACAACUGAGACAUUAAAUGGAAGGAAAAUAAAUCCAAUUAAAAGAAGACAAAAAGUACUCUAUUACAGGAUAAUUAUGAGUAUUUGAUCCGAUUAUAUAAGAUUAUAGUAUUUUAUGAUUAGAUUUGGGUAGUAAUUUCACAACCCUAUCAAGUUCAGGUAUCAUUUUUUGGGUAUCCGAUACUUGAACCUGAUUACAUUUCUUUAAUUUUAUGUAAUUAAAGAUAAACUUAUAUUAUUAAUUAAAUUAAUUCAUAAAACUAUGAUUAUUAAUUAAUUUGUAAUAUCUUUUAAUACAUGUACUCUAUAUAUUGUGUUAAUUUAUAAAUAAUAUAAUAAUUAUUAUAUAUACUUUUAGUAUAUAUACUUUAAUUAUAAAUAUAUUUAAUUUCUAUUUUAUAUUACUGUUACAAAAAUUAUAACUUAUAAAAUUAUUAAUUAUAAUAUAUAUAUAUUUGUUUAUAUAAACUUAUAAAAUAUAUCCUUAAAAAGAAGUAGUGAGAUUAGUAUAGUUUUAGAAUUUAUUUUUUAAAAUUUCAUAUAAUUAAAGACAAACCCUUAUAGUUAAUUAAACUUGUAGUGUUGUUCAAGUUGUAGUUUGAACAUUUGCUUUUAGUUAUUUAAGUUGACAUUUGCGAUAUUUGUUUUUGAUUAUUUAAAUUUAAAUUUUAUUAUUUGUGUGCUUUCAUAAAUUUAAUUAUUAGUGAAUUAUAUGGAAUAUGAAUGAAAAUAUUAUUGUAUAUAAAUACAGGUACAGAUUCGGAUUCAGGUAAUUAAGUACCCAUAAAGAGCAUUUCAAUAAUUUUUUUACAUAAUCAGAUUUUCAAAUGGGUUUAGAUAAUUAUUAAGCAGUGGGUAUGUAUUAGGGUUCGGGUUAGGAUAGUAAAUUUAAAAAUAUUCGGAUAAUUGUAGGGUUCGGAUACCUCAUUUAUUAAUCGAGUUUGGGUUCAAGUAUCACAAAAUUAACAACUACCUUACCCAUUAACACGUCUAAAUCCAAUAAAUGAAAAAUUAAAUGCUAAAAUAAUGUUAUAAAAUGAAAAGCUUUCAAUUAUUGUAUUGCUGCACCAAGAUUAUGGAUGCAACAUGAAGAAGACGUUACAAAUAACGAUUAAGUAAAUAUAAUAAGACAACAGUUGAAACUUCUUGAACCUAUACUCAACUGUUCAAGAUGCUUAUCAUUUUGCAAUAUUCCAUCUAGUAAAAUUAACAACUCAAGUAAGACAAGUGAAAUUCAUUAGAGACCCAAGCCUAUAGGGCAUACAAGUAAAUUUAUUACAAUUUUUAUAUAAAAAACUUUUCCUAUGCUUUGUAUCUCUGGGUAAUUAAUUUGCAAAGCUCAUAGAAAACUCAGAUUUAGUGUUUGUUGAUAUUGGAGGAUAUUCUUGAUUAUGUUUUUAUAUAAUUACCAAAAAGGUUUAGAUGCCUUAGAUGUUUGAAUUUGUCACGACCCGGCACUCCCUUUGAGCCCGUGACAACCGUCGCGAAGUCUUAGUAAACAUUCAUUACUCGAUAUGUCAACCAAAAUCUCACAAGGCUCUUGCAUCAGUUUUCCACUUCCCCAGUGAGCAAUAGUUACUAAACAUCGAGUUUUAAGAGAAUAUAAACUAUUUUAGAUCGAAAACAAUCAAAAUAAAAUUUUCGCCACACAAGGGUAUUUUGGUCAUUUUUACUUGAAAAUUUCAAAACCUGUAUCCAUUUCCGAUUAAAAAUAAAUUUUUGUAAUCUAAAUCAUCCAUUUGGAGUGAAAAAUUGGCUAAUUAGACUAAAUAAAAAUAUUUGAUAAUAUAUUUCAUUUUCUUAUAAAAUAAUUUUUAUAGAACUAUGCAUAAAUAAUUUUUGUAGCGUAAGAACAAAAUAAAUUCAUACACAUAGUGAUACAGUAAACCAGGUAUUCAAAAUUAUCCUACAGUGACAUAUGGACCCCGAGAUAACCAAAAGUGUGCAAGAAUGUAGACCUACGAUUUCCAAGGAAGUAAGUCCAACAGAAAUCCUUGAUGAAAUCAACUGCCUACAGAUUAUCCUGAACUUGAAAUGGUUAAAAAAGAAAGGGUGAGUUUUCAUAAACUCAAUGAGUAAACAAAAUCCGUCAUUAACAUCUAAAGUCGAGUAAAUAGAGACAGUUAACUUUUCAUCAUAUCAUAAUCCAUAAUAUUUUGUACUUGUUUCAAAUCAUAUUAAACAACACAUUUCAUUAUAAUACACAUCACGACUUAUGAUUUUCUUAAAAACUUGGCUCGUGUCAAAAAUCAUACUUGGUGAUACCUUGACCGAGGCAUUCAAUUGAGUCCGCCAAGGUUAUUAAGUUAACAACUACUCAUAAAAACAUAGUUUAACCAUCUCUUGGCGUUGGCAGAGUUCAUCUUCAAGUGGUGGCUCGGCGUGAAGUGAACUCUAUCAUACCUUAGGAGAUAUCCUUCGCGCCUUUCCUACUAAGGUAAAUAUAACGGGGUUUACCGUGCCCCUCUAAUAGGCUGGUCCAUGGAAACUCGCCUACUGCAAUGACUAAUUAAAUAACCCACCAAUCAAUAAAAUUUUGACAGCAUAACGUGGCUAACAUAAUACUACCCAACCUGUCAAAGGAAAACAAACAGUUUAUAUAUUUCACAACCCAAAAACCCAGCCACAUAUGUCAUCACGUAUCAGUUCAUAAAUCAUCAAUUCCAAACGUAGGUACGUAAACUUAAAUAUAUANNNNNNNNNNNNNNNNNNNNNNNNNNNNNNNNNNNNNNNNNNNNNNNNNNNNNNNNNNNNNNNNNNNNNNNNNNNNNNNNNNNNNNNNNNNNNNNNNNNNNNNNNNNNNNNNNNNNNNNNNNNNNNNNNNNNNNNNNNNNNNNNNNNNNNNNNNNNNNNNNNNNNNNNNNNNNNNNNNNNNNNNNNNNNNNNNNNNNNNNNNNNNNNNNNNNNNNNNNNNNNNNNNNNNNNNNNNNNNNNNNNNNNNNNNNNNNNNNNNNNNNNNNNNNNNNNNNNNNNNNNNNNNNNNNNNNNNNNNNNNNNNNNNNNNNNNNNNNNNNNNNNNNNNNNNNNNNNNNNNNNNNNNNNNNNNNNNNNNNNNNNNNNNNNNNNNNNNNNNNNNNNNNNNNNNNNNNNNNNNNNNNNNNNNNNNNNNNNNNNNNNNNNNNNNNNNNNNNNNNNNNNNNNNNNNNNNNNNNNNNNNNNNNNNNNNNNNNNNNNNNNNNNNNNNNNNNNNNNNNNNNNNNNNNNNNNNNNNNNNNNNNNNNNNNNNNNNNNNNNNNNNNNNNNNNNNNNNNNNNNNNNNNNNNNNNNNNNNNNNNNNNNNNNNNNNNNNNNNNNNNNNGGGCAUGAAAAACAACCAAAUUCAUCAUCAAACCUCACCCAUAAAAUUCGGCCAAGAUAGGUUCUAUAAUGGGCAUGUGGAUUUCUUGCUUAAUUUUCAUACUAAAUGUUACUAAACACCUAAAAACACUAAGUUACCUUGAAAUUCAACUAAAUUCAUCACCAACUUUCUCUCUCUAAAUUUGGCCAGCAUAUUGCCCCUCAUGAAAACUUGAAUUUAAUUCAUGAAAAAUGAAAAAGAAUGCAUGGGCAAGAUGAAUUUCAAGCUUAAGAUUAAAAAUCUUACCUUUAGUCACCAAUUUCUUGAAAAUUCACCAAAAUUUCCUUAGUUUUUCCUCCCUAGGGUUUUUCUUUUCUUUUCUGCAGGUGCUGGUCGGUCCUCAAUUUCUAAGUGGAAGAGUAUGGGUUGGUUUUUAAAUGGCAAUAUAAUAAUAUUUAAUUUUUGACACGUGUCACCUUUUUAUUGGUCCACUUGUUUUAACUUAAUUGUUAAGUAUUUUCUCACCACCACAAAUGCUCUAAUAUUUAUCCAUAGCAUAAAAUAAUAAUAGGUAAAAUUCUGGAGCUUGACAAAUAUCAUGGUGGUGUAAAAUCGUAAAAUUCCAAUUUUGCCCUUGUGGACCAGAAAAAUGACAUUUUUGCCCUUAUGCUCGAAAUUGAAAAUUUUCACUUCUCAAUCUCAAAUUAUACUCCAAUUGGUCAAACUUGAUCAAAAUUUUCAUCCAACUUUCCAAAUUUGACCUCGGGUGGCAAAAUUACCAUUUUACCCCUGUGGUAUGAAAAUUCCUAAUUGACUCCAAUUUAAUCCUCGAACUCCAAAUCACCAUAUUAAGUCAUUUUGGGGUUUUAAAUUCUCAAUUUCAUUGUAAAAUUUCUAUUUAAACUAGUUCGAGACUUUAAAUUAACUUAGUUGCAUAACUAAUUACGAUACCGAUUAUUUAACUAUUUCUAAGGCAUUCUAACAUGCAGAUGUGUCAUCAAGUAUAUGGAUGUUAUGAUGAGUAUAUAAUGGAGUAGGGCUUGAUAGAAUUUGUCAACUGAGACAAUCUCUACUCAAUAAUAUCUAAGAUCUAAUGCCUUCAAGUGCUUCUAUUUACCUGUAAAUCUCAACUAUAAGUUGUUAGGUACAAUCAUGAGCGCAAUGCAUGAACCUUGGGUAGUUUGCUUGCAUUUAAAAUAACAUUUUUUGAUGAGUGGUCAUUAACAAACAAGUGAUGAGCAGUUUUCGGGAUAAUUGACAUUCAACUUAGUUUAAUCACAUAACACUUAUGUCUUAUGAUUGAUUGUGUAGGAUCAUGAACAAGAUCAUGCAUUUUACAUGUUAUAUUACCUUGGAUAUUGUUGGUAUAUACCCUUGAGCCAAUUGAAUUGGUCAAGAAAUAUAUAUAUUGUCAUUUAAUGCAUAUUUAAUCACAUAAUUAUAUGUGAUAGAGGUUUUCUUUCAUAUUAGUGCAAUAAUAAAGAGUUAUUAAGUACUAAUUGGAUAAAGCCCAUGGAACAUAAAGGCCUUGCAAGAGAAUUGUAAAAUUGUUACAAUUAUGAGAUCACUAUACAUUAAAGCCAUGCUCCUAAAAUUGUUCCUAGUCAUUGUAUUGUCAAGAUAGGGCAUUGACAAUGCUCAAAGACUGGUACAUGUUAAGCCUCCUUACUUAGAAAGUAAGCAAUUGAUCUCAUAGAUUGAAGUAUAUGGGAUACUUGAGGAUAAUAUGUAAGUGCUUGUUAAAGAACAAGUUCAUUGAACAUGACUUGCUAUGAGAACUUCAUUUGGUGUUUCAUUCAAGUGUCUAUGGAAAAUAUUCUCAUGUGAUAGUCGUGCAACUAGUCUUUGGACUUGAGACACCAGGUCAUCUUGUAUAGAGAAUGACAUACUUUGAUUUCACCUCUACGGGUUUGGAAGCAACCAAAUGCCUAAAUAGAGUGCUUUUGGGUAUGCCAUAAAACAUGUGAAGGUGAAUAAGUGGUCAAGAGAGGAUUCAUCACCCUAAGUGAUAUGAGGGGAUGUAUCUCACUUGUUCUCAAUUAUUGAUUAACUUGUAUAAAGUCUUUGGCCAAAGCAUGAUGAAUUUGAAGAAAGUUAGUUUUCUCAAAGUCAUGAAUUAUGGGAACUAAUAUGGAAUGUUAUAAGUAGACACUGAGCCAUGCUUAAUGACAUCUCCGGGAUAUUUGAUGAAAGGACCGUAUUGCACUGAGAGGUUUAUCACUGAAGGGCUUAGUCAAAUUCUUUAAUUGACUUUCUAACAUUUGGGUGGUCAUGAUGUAUUGCUAAAUAUCGCUCAUGAUCUAUAAAUAUAAAUUAAUUAUCAAAUUGAUAUUUGAUUAUGAUAUAUAUUUAUUGCCAACAUGUUAAAAGCCUAAUGGAUCACACACAUUAAGUGACAUGAUUGAGAUUAAAUAAGGAUAAUUAAUUAAGUUGGACUUAAUUGAAAGAGACCAAAAUAAAGUGAGAAAUUAAUUAAGUUUUUAGAGACUUAAUUAAAUUAAAAUACAACUGUUGUAUUUAGAUUACAAACUAGUUUGGCUAUAUAAAUAUAUUAUAUUAGCAAACUAGAAAUAUAAGCCUCAAAACCACUUCUCAACUAUUUCAUAAAAUAAGAAAAGAAAAAUAGUUUUCUUUCUCUGACAAAAAUAAGAUUCAGCAAGAAUUUUUAGGCCUUUUGUUUUAGACAAAAUACUUGCUAGCACAAGUAAAAAUCCUACCUUUGAGAAAGUCUUGUUUAGUCACUGUGUGGAUUACUAUUAGAGGCUAAACACUUGGGUGGCUAAAGAUUUGACAAAUCCUAAAGCUGAAGAAGCAAAGAUUUGAAUGUAAUUGGCUUUUGAUUACGAUAUCCAGAGUAAGGUAUGUAACUCUUAAACUUAUGAGUGUUCAUUACUAAUCAAAAAGUUACAUGAAAACACAAACAUUGAUCUUGUAGGAUUCGACUGUUUCUCUAAUUAAAUAUUAUUUUAUUUUUUACUGCGUUACUAUUUUAAUUAUUGAUUAUUUUCAUGUUUAAGCAUGAGGUUGAAUCCCAACAGAUAUUUUCUUCACUUCUUCAAAAAAAGACAUGUAAGUUAAUUCAUUAAUGAUAUUAAAGCUGAGACUUGCAUGGAAGACUAUAGCACCUUUGAUGCACAUGCAGGUUCCUUAUCUAUAGAUUGUUUUGUAUUGAAUUAUAAGCCUGUAUGUUGAUAUGUCAUUGUCAAAGCAUGCAACCAAUGCAGAAGGGAAAUGAUGUAUUUAGCUCUUGUUUUGUACUUUAUAACAAGUGUAAUUCGAAUUAAUGAAGGUUAGUGGAAUUAGUAGCCAUCAUUUUCCAAUUUUUUCAGCUUUUAUUGCAUUUACUCUUCUUUGUUAAUGACCAAGUAAAUUCUACAAUCUUUUGUUAAUGUCACAGUAUGAUAUCAAAGCUGUUAUGAUCUUAGAAGCCUCUCAAACCCAGAAGCCAUUAAUCCAAAAGCAUGGUUUCAAGCAACUUCACUCACCAAGCUCCACCCCUUUCAAUUAAAACGAAAGCUUACUUGACAUUACAAAAGAAAGACUUUUCAAAUGGAAUAUUCUUUCGAAAUAUUUUUUGUUGAACAAUUGGCACAAGAAAUGGUUUAGUUAGUACUAUAGUUUGGUCAAAAAUAAUGAAAAUUUUAUUGGUAUCGAAUCUACAUUUAUUGAUGAAAAUUUUUAUCAAUAAUGCAAAAAAAUUCCAUUGGAAUUUUAAAUAUAUCGAUCGAUAAAAUAUCAACUAAUAAUGGUUGAAAAUUUGUCAGAAAAUUACACUAUUUCAUCAGUAAAAGUUGAUCAUAUUAAAAAAAAUUGUUAAUCUUGACAUACAUUUGUCGAAAAUGUCAUUAAAAAACAGUUGAAAUUUUGGUGCAAAAUUUGUUGAUAAAAUGUAUAUUUUGUUGGUAAAAGUCCAUAGAAAUUUGUUUCUACUAAUGAAAUUUCGUUGGUAUUCCAUCGAAAAAUGGUCAAAAUUUUAUAAAAAAUUGGUUGAAAAUAUUGUUGGGUUUUUUAGAAAUUUUUUUUCCAAAAUAAUAAUGUAUCUUGAAAUAUAAUAUACGGCUUGGAAAAAUGUAAUAUACUUCCAAAUAUUCAUUUAAAACAUAUAUAAAUAAAAUUAAAAUGACCACAUGUUAUUACAAUUUUUAUUUAAUUACUCCAUAAAAAUCAAAAUGAAUGUUAUAGACACCAAAUUUUACCUGGGUAGAAUUAAGUCAAAAUUAACUUUUAUUGUCAUUUUUAUUUUAUUUCUAUUUUUUAUUUUUAUUUCAAUUUUUAUAUACUAUUGGAUUUGAGCUUAAUUCAAAUUGGACCUUUUUUGUUGUGGGAGCCCAAAGGAAAUGCAGGCACAAUUCUAAGUUGGGCUUUUUAGGCUUUUAAAGCCAAAAGCCUAUUAAGCCCACACACAAAAUAAAAAAAAAAAGAAGGAACCAAAAAAAAUUCCAAAAUGAUCAGAAAAAAAAUGAAAAAUGAAAAAAAAAACCCAAGAAUCAGGCAUAAAAGUGGAAAAUAAAAAAACAGAAAAGAAAUGAAAGACAACCAAUGAAUAGAAAGAUCUAGUGAUUGAAAAUAAAAAAUGAAACUAAAAAUCAAAUAACAAAAAGAAAUGGAAAAUAAUUGAAGAGAGUAGAAUGAUAUAGGGAUUGAAACCAAAUCAUGGAAAAUGAAGAUCAAAAAUAAAAAAACAGAAGGAGUGAGUUACGAAAGUGUGAAAGUUGCAUAGGGAGGUACACGCAGGCACUUUGCGGCAACUAUAAAAAUCCAUUUUCUCUUUGCAAAAGGGAGGAUGCUUGAAAAUAAAAAAAUUAAAGAAAAUGUGCAAAAAAAAAUCCAAAAAUUAUAUUUUUAAUUUAUGCCAUAUAAUCCUCAAUUUUAAUAAUAAAUAUAAUUUUUUAAAAUAUUUUUUAUUUUACAUAUGUACGUGCUAUUUAUAAUUAACUUUAAACUUUUUUUAUCGUAGCUGCUUGAAUAUGCUUAGGAUUCAUAUGUAUCUUUAAUUUACUUUUCCACCAAUAAUUCUUUCCUCAUGUUUUUUUUUUAAUUGUAAGCAAAGGCACAUAUUUCGCCAUAGACAUGGGAUUUAUUUUUGCAAUAAUCGGUUGAUAUCGGAAUGGAUAAUACAGACUCUUCUACGGUGUAACACCCCUAAUUUUUGAUAUGGCCUAAAUGUGGUGUUGGCCAAGUGAUUUGAUGAGUAAACUUGAAAAACUUGAUGUAUAUGCUUGUAGAGCAUGCAUAUGAGUUAUUGUGGUAUAUAGAGAAAGAUUUUGAAUUUCAGUGUACAUUGAGGAUUCUAAUGAUAUAAUGAAAUAACUAAGUCAAUUAAUGAACCAAAUUGAAUUUUUGGUGUAUCUGUUUAAGAGUUUAAGAGUGUGCCUAUGUCCAUAGAGCAAUGAAUAUGAUAUAUGAGCAUGUGAAGGCUCAAAAUAAUAUUGUGCAUUUGUUUGGCACGUUAAUGGUAUAGUGCAUUGUUUAGCUAUUUGAUAAAUAUGAUGCUUAAUGUAAGUUAUGUUAAGUUUUGCUCUGUAUACUAUGUGAAAUAGAGUAUAAUAAGGAUUUGAAUCUAUGUGAUAAGCAUAUGCUCGGUUAUUGAGCAUUCUUGAUGAGUUGAGAUGAGAAUGAUAAUUAUGGUACUUAGACCACUAAUCUUAGAGCUUGAAUAUGGUGAACUAUAUGGUUUGAAGUCUAAGUGAGAUUUUGACAUUUGAUGAUAUAUUUGAAUGUUUAUGUGUAAGAUUUCAUGCUAUAUGAAUGAAUUGAAGUGUGUUAUGAGUGGAAAUGAAUUAGAGAACUUACGGGGAAGUGAUUUGGGGUGUUAAGUUCAGAUUUUAGGCAAUUUAGGUGUAGGAAAGGUGCAAUCUAGGCAAGAUGUAUUGAUACAUUUUUGGAAAGAUGAACAUGUAUCUAUACUUUGCCUUAAUGUAUCGAUACAUUUGAAGUAAGGAGUACCCAAGACCAUUUUGCUUGAAAUGUAUCGAUACAUUGCCUUAAUGUAUUGAUACGUUCAUUCGAAAUUAGGGCAGAUGUAUCGAUACAUUUCCAAAUGUAUCGGUAUGUCAAAGAGAAAAGGCAAAAAUAAAAAGGGGUUUCAAGCCAUUCUGCCCCAUUUUUCUCCUUAACUCUUUCUCUCUUUCUUUCUCUACCUCUUUGAAACCCUAAACCCUUAAAUGACAUUGGAGCCUAUUGAGCUAAAUCCAACCUUGGGAAAUGAUCCAAAGGUAAGAUUAUGCAUUUUUCCCAAAUGAUUUCGAUUUAAUCGGUUAAUAACCUUGGAUCCAAAUAUUUUCAAAUUUGAUCAAACUCUCUCCCCUUGAGUUUAUUGGAGAUUUGGAGCCUAGAUUUGGACAACCCAGCUUGCAAGGUAAGGAUUUAGCUCAUUUGUUGGAAGAAUAAGCAUGUAUAUUGAAUUUAGUUAUUUUUGAAAAGUUGGGAUAUUUUUAAAAGCUAGGAAAUAAUUAUGAUUUUGAUAUUUUGAUAUGUCUAAGGGGAAAAUGGAGGUUAUUGAUGCAUUGUGAGCUGAAAGACAGUUGGAGACUAAAGGUUGAGCUUGAUUGCGGUGCGCAUUCGAUUGUCAAGGUGAGUGGGAUUUAAUUAAAUGAAUGUGAUACAUUUUGCAUAAUGUAUGCACUGUCAUGGUACUUAAAUGUUGUGUGUAUUCCUAGAUGAGAAUGCUUAGGCUAGAGAAUUAAUACGUAUAUAUGUGUGUGUGUGUGUGUGUGUGUGUGCCUAGAGGUAUAUGCCUAGGCUAGAGAAUGAACAUGAUUGUGAGCCUAGAUGAGGAUGCCUAGGCUAAUUAGUUAUCUAAGAUAGGAAAUCUGUGUUUGUGUGAUUUGUGGUGAGCCACAAGGUGGAAUUGUGUUAGAACCUAUGGUAUGUAAGACCUAGAGCAAGAGGCCUACACAUGGUGCAAUAUGAAUUAUGUAUUGAGGAUUGUGCCAAAUUAUGAUAAAUGGACUGCUUAAUUAGGCAUAUGGGCACGAUGUGUAUUUGGGAUAAUGGCACUACAAUCGAGAUGAUAUUAGUUAUGUGAGGUCGAAUAGCCAUGAAUGCUUAUGGAAAUAAUCUAUACAUGAAUGCCCACGUAAUUGUGGUUGAUUUGAGGAGAUGGAUAAAGCUGUUAAGCCAUGAUUGAUAUGAUUGAUGAAUACCCAUGUGGGGUUAUGGGGAUGAGGGCUUAUAGAUUGAUUAUGUUUUUUUUUAUGAUGCUUAAAGAUUUGAAGGCACUUAAAAUUAUGCAGAGCUUAGAGAUGACUGAGGCUUGUUAAAUUUGAAUAUGAUUUGAUAUGGACAUAUGGAAUGUCAUAGGCAUGAUGGCUUGAUUUGUUGAUUUAUGUUCUGUCUGAAGAAUGAAUUUCGGAUGUUGGUUUGACUUGAGGUGGAGUGGAGUCCCACGCCUUGUGACUAUGUGUGUGCUUGCAGGGAUGGUGGUAAGUAAGGAUAGAGGCACUAAUCCCUCAUAUGAUUCCUGCCUACAGUGCUUUGAUGUCAUCCGUUGAGAUUACUUCGAGUGAUAUCGAUGUCGGGAAAUUACUCCGAUCAAUGAUACGAUUCUCCGCUAGUUGCUCUAGCGCUAUGCACGAUAUGUUCUCUGCCCGUUUCUUCGGUACACGCGUGAUUUGUUUCUUUGCCUAACAGCUUUGCCCUACGCGUGAUUUGUUUCUCCAUUGGUUGGCCAUUGAGCAUGAUUUGACUACGUAUAGGGCAUGACCACUCAUUGGAUUUCGUUUAACUAUGAUAACAUGCAUCGGGGAUGGCAUAAUUGGAUUUGAAAUAUGAAUAUGUGGUGACCACAGUGAAUGAGAUUCGAUGAAAAGUUUUAAGAUAAGCAAAUCACAUGUAAAUGAGAUUUAAGGUUGGGCUCGGCAACUAAGGAGUGCCUAUGAAGCCUAGUUUGAUGGUAACGGCUUUAAAGAUAAGCCUUAAAUUGAUAUGAUUUGAUGUGAAGUCACGAAACUUGGAAAUUGUGGAUAUAAUAUGCCGUUGAGAUGUGAUUCGGCAUAAUUUAAUAUAAUGAGUUAUGUAUGUAAGAUAUUAAGAUGAUCUUCACACCAUUGCAAUUGGAAAUGUUUGAAUAUGAAAGUCUUAUGGCUAUAUAGGCCUAAAUAUAUUUUGUAUGUAAGAUAUUAUAAUAUAAUAGCAUCCCUUCACUAAGUAUUAGAUGACUCACCCUUCUAUUGUACCAUGUGCAAAUACGAAAAACUAUGGGGUUACGUGGCAAGUGUCAUCGAUUGGACGGACACAUAAUUGGCAUUCGAUAGGUUUCCAUCCCAACGUGUCACUCUGCUAAGUCUAUGUGGGCCUUUUGCCUUCCCAGUUUGGUUAGUUGUAAAUAUGUUAGGCACAAUGUGCCAUUUGAAUUGUAUAAGGUUUGUUAUGUAUGAACCUGAUUGAUUGGCCAGUGUAUGACCUUACGAACAUUUGUAUGGAUUGUGAGCCAAGGAUAAUGUAAUAUAUUUGAAAUUGUUACAAAUAUUUGAUUAUAAAUCCCUUGACAUUUGAGUUAUAUGGUUAUGAAUUCUGAGGCUUGCUUAGGUCUAGUGAACUUGCUUGUUAGGCUCGUGCGUCUAUCACCGACUCUCGAAUUUGGGUCGUGAUAGUGUAUGUGCAUAAACACAAGCAUAUUGGGUGUAUUUUUCCAAGCAUAGGUAAAACACUUUCAUUAAGUCCAUUUUUUUCACCUCCCAUGACCUCAUAACUUUAUCUUAUAUUUAAAUUUUAUAAAACUAGAAUAACGAGUUAUUUAGACGAAAAAAAAAAAGAAUUAAGGUAAAAAGGCAAUAGCUUACGGUUGCAAUAGAAACUGACGUGAACCAUAGCAGCGUUGGCUUCUCGUCAAAGGUGAGAAAGGAAAUGGUUAGAGAAGGGAAGAAGCCAAACUAGGGAUGAAGAAGAAGGCGUGAUCACUUUAU
rnacentral:lncRNA from 1 species